CGCCGGGGAGUUAACCACUCUUUAAGCUUUCCAGGCGAUAAGGAUGCCAGUCCAGCUUUCUGGAUGUCGAGUGGUCUCUGUCCACUCUGUUUGAUGCCUCCCUGUACGACUCUUUCGCCGCCCCACCGGGGCGGCUUUCUUUUU
rnacentral:sRNA from 1 species